CCUACGGGAGGCAGCAGUGAGGAAUAUUGGUCAAUGGGCUUACGCCUGAACCAGCCAAGUCGCGUGAGGGAUUAAGGCCCUACGGGUCGUAAACCUCUUUUGUCGGGGAGCAAAGCUCCGGACGUGUCCGGGCCGGGAGAGUACCCGGAGAAAAAGCAUCGGCUAACUACGUGCCAGCAGCCGCGGUAAUACGGAGGAUGCGAGCGUUAUCCGGAUUUAUUGGGUUUAAAGGGUGCGUAGGCGGGCAGUUAAGUCGGCGGUAAAAUGUCGGGGCUCAACCCCGGCCUGCCGUUGGAACUGGGGGCCUUGAGUGGGCGAGAAGUAUGCGGAAUGCGUGGUGUAGCGGUGAAAUGCAUAGAUAUCACGCAGAACCCCGAUUGCGAAGGCAGCAUACCGGCGCCCUACUGACGCUGAGGCACGAAAGUGCGGGUAUCGAACAGGAUUAGAUACCCUAGUAGUC
rnacentral:rRNA from 1 species